AGGGAAUCUUCCGCAAUGGACGAAAGUCUGACGGAGCAACGCCGCGUGAGUGAUGAAGGUUUUCGGAUCGUAAAACUCUGUUGUUAGGGAAGAAUAAGUACGAGAGUAACUGCUCGUACCUUGACGGUACCUAACCAGAACGCCACGGCUAACUACGUGCCAGCAGCCGCGGUCAUACGUAGGUGGCAAGCGUUGUCCGGAAUUAUUGGGCGUAAAGCGCGCGCAGGCGGUUCCUUAAGUCUGAUGUGAAAGCCCACGGCUCAACCGUGGAGGGGCAUUGGAAACUGGGGAACUUGAGUGCAGGAGAGAAGAGUGGAAUUCCACGUGUAGCGGUGAAAUGCGUAGAGAUGUGGAGGAACACCAGUGGCGAAGGCGACUCUUUGGCCUGUAACUGACGCUGAGGCGCGAAAGCGUGGGGAGCAAAC
rnacentral:rRNA from 1 species